GAUGAACGCUGGCGGCGUGCCUAAUACAUGCCAGUCGAGCGAACAGAUGAGGAGCUUGCUCCUCUGACGUUAGCGGCGGACGGGUGAGUAACACGUGGAUAACCUACCUAUAAGACUGGGAUAACUUCGGGAAACCGGAGCUAAUACCGGAUAAUAUAUUGAACCGCAUGGUUCAAUAGUGAAAGACGGUUUUGCUGUCACUUAUAGAUGGAUCCGCGCCGCAUUAGCUAGUUGGUAAGGUAACGGCUUACCAAGGCAACGAUGCGUAGCCGACCUGAGAGGGUGAUCGGCCACACUGGAACUGAGACACGGUCCAGACUCCUACGGGAGGCAGUAGUAGGGAAUCUUCCGCAAUGGGCGAAAGCCUGACGGAGCAACGCCGCGUGAGUGAUGAAGGUCUUCGGAUCGUAAAACUCUGUUAUUAGGGAAGAACAAAUGUGUAAGUAACUAUGCACGUCUUGACGGUACCUAAUCAGAAAGCCACGGCUAACUACGUG
rnacentral:rRNA from 1 species